rnacentral:rRNA from 1 species
UCAUCUCCGGGGGUAGAGCACUGUUUCGGCAAGGGGGUCAUCCCGACUUACCAACCCGAUGCAAACUGCGAAUACCGGAGAAUGUUAUCACGGGAGACACACGGCGGGUGCUAACGUCCGUCGUGAAGAGGGAAACAACCCAGACCGCCAGCUAAGGUCCCAAAGUCAUGGUUAAGUGGGAAACGAUGUGGGAAGGCCCAGACAGCCAGGAUGUUGGCUUAGAAGCAGCCAUCAUUUAAAGAAAGCGUAAUAGCUCACUGGUCGAGUCGGCCUGCGCGGAAGAUGUAACGGGGCUAAACCAUGCACCGAAGCUGCGGCAGCGACGCUUAUGCGUUGUUGGGUAGGGGAGCGUUCUGUAAGCCUGUGAAGGUGUGCUGUGAGGCAUGCUGGAGGUAUCAGAAGUGCGAAUGCUGACAUAAGUAACGAUAAAGCGGGUGAAAAGCCCGCUCGCCGGAAGACCAAGGGUUCCUGUCCAACGUUAAUCGGGGCAGGGUGAGUCGACCCCUAAGGCGAGGCCGAAAGGCGUAGUCGAUGGGAAACAGGUUAAUAUUCCUGUACUUGGUGUUACUGCGAAGGGGGGACGGAGAAGGCUAUGUUGGCCGGGCGACGGUUGUCCCGGUUUAAGCGUGUAGGCUGGUUUUCCAGGCAAAUCCGGAAAAUCAAGGCUGAGGCGUGAUGACGAGGCACUACGGUGCUGAAGCAACAAAUGCCCUGCUUCCAGGAAAAGCCUCUAAGCAUCAGGUAACAUCAAAUCGUACCCCAAACCGACACAGGUGGUCAGGUAGAGAAUACCAAGGCGCUUGAGAGAACUCGGGUGAAGGAACUAGGCAAAAUGGUGCCGUAACUUCGGGAGAAGGCACGCUGAUAUGUAGGUGAAGUCCCUCGCGGAUGGAGCUGAAAUCAGUCGAAGAUACCAGCUGGCUGCAACUGUUUAUUAAAAACACAGCACUGUGCAAACACGAAAGUGGACGUAUACGGUGUGACGCCUGCCCGGUGCCGGAAGGUUAAUUGAUGGGGUCAGCGCAAGCGAAGCUCUUGAUCGAAGCCCCGGUAAACGGCGGCCGUAACUAUAACGGUCCUAAGGUAGCGAAAUUCCUUGUCGGGUAAGUUCCGACCUGCACGAAUGGCGUAAUGAUGGCCAGGCUGUCUCCACCCGAGACUCAGUGAAAUUGAACUCGCUGUGAAGAUGCAGUGUACCCGCGGCAAGACGGAAAGACCCCGUGAACCUUUACUAUAGCUUGACACUGAACAUUGAGCCUUGAUGUGUAGGAUAGGUGGGAGGCUU